CACGUGAUAGUCAGGGUGUGGUCAGGAACAUGCCGAGACAUGUUGAAAGGUAAGUGGUUUGAUGAUCGCCCGGUAAGGAGCAGUGAACCUUUCAUCCGCGAUUGAAAAGGGGCUCUUAGGACCGCAAAAGGAGAGACAUAAAGUGGAGGAGGAAUGUGAUGCUGCGGAUAUGUGGUUAUUCAAACAGCAGAUUGCUGAUAUCUGUAACUUUGAGGAUGAACUUGGCCGAAUUCCUUUAAACUUGUUGCUGUACAGCACGGAGUAUUUGCGCCUGUUCUGCUAUAGAGGAGUAACGGACAUAGACCCAGAGGAGCUGCUGCAGAAAACGUGUUGUUUCAUCAAACAGCUGGUGGCCUGUAACUGGAAUCUGGAAUUUACGGAGUCAGGGCUUCCCCUUCUAGUGGACGUCCCAUCAGCUACCAACCACGGCUAGUUGUUCCUGUGAUGCAAGGAUAAAUCUGAGCAUCGUAACCACUCUCUUCUUUUUGAAAAGUGAGAAGCUGGUUCAGGGCCAGUCACCUGGGAUGUCACCAACCCCAGGGAACGUCAGAGAGAGGCAGUAUUUAAGUCAAUUCAUUUGGUUUGCCAGUUUCACCUGCUAAUUUUGAUCAACGUUACAUCCAAUGAGCACGUUCCGUUUUCGAAUACGUAAAUGCUGCAGGCUACACCCAGAUCUCCCCGAGAAGCGGUACCCUGUAUGCAGACCUGUGAUGACGAUGCCCUCAGACGGACUUCAGAGCAGCCGUGGGUGGAGCAUGUGCCUGGGGGAGGGGUUCAACAGUUAUUACUCUCUGUGCAGUUAUUAUGUGGCGGUGGUCAAGUGAUCGGUUAAUAAUGAAAUGAUCAAAGCAAUCUGGAGAGAAAUAUAGAAAAUGCAGGAAAUGGAAUGAAGGGAAGAAAAGAGUCUGAUAUAGAGGUAAAGAUGUGCAGUUUGAAUGUCAUCUCCUUUGUAUUUGUCAUCAAUCUUGCAAUUGAAUUUACUCAUAAUAAUAAUUAGUUGUCCCCCCCAAAUAUAUAACGUGAAAACAUGGGAUAACAUUAUAACUUUAUACUCCGUGCCCAAAUAAUGGGAGAUUAUUUCCCAUAUGCCCCAAAUAAUUUAAUUCAACCCAACGCUACAUAAAUUAUGAAGUGUUUACUCCAUCAUGUCCCCAUUUGACCAGAAGAUGUCGCUGGUUAUCAAGUUUUCUUUGCAAAAUUGUAUAUUGUUUAGAAUCGGAGUCGUAAAAUCAUGGGGGUCAUAUUAAUUAUUAUUAGUAUAUUAUGCUAUUGUGUUCUAUGUUGUUGUGUUUAUUUUUCAUUUAAUCCGGUUGUUUUUAUUUAAUUUUUUUUUGCAUUUUGGAUUAUCUACAUGUUCAUAAUUUUUAGAUAUAUUGUUUUAUUUAUAUUUUGAUAUUUAAGCAUAUUAAUGUAAAGCUGAUUGGAAUAUGAGUAAUUAAAUGUGACUGUGCUGAGUUUAUGCACACUAACUGAA